GGCUUGCACAGGCCAAAAUCGUGUGCCCUAGACCUGGAUCUCGGAUCACAGGGAUGGAAGACUCACCGCGCUAGUGAGCACUCAGCAACUAUCCUUGACCGGACGACGAUCGCUAAUUGCCGCGGUUUUGCUGUUU
rnacentral:ncRNA from 2 species